rnacentral:rRNA from 1 species
UACGUAGGUCCCGAGCGUUAUCCGGAUUUAUUGGGCGUAAAGCGCGCGUAGGCGGCCGCCUAAGCGGAACCUCUAACCCCGGGGCUCAACCUCGGGCCGGGUUCCGGACUGGGCGGCUCGAGUGCGGUAGAGGAGAGCGGAAUUCCCGGUGUAGCGGUGGAAUGCGCAGAUAUCGGGAAGAACACCGAUGGCGAAGGCAGCUCUCUGGGCCGUCACUGACGCUGAGGCUCGAAAGCGUGGGUAGCGAACAGG